GACGAACGCUGGCGGCGUGCUUAACACAUGCAAGUCGAACGGAAAGGCCCUGCUUGCAGGGUCCUCGAGUGGCGAACGGGUGAGUAACACGUGGGUGAUCUGCCCUGCACUUCGGGAUAAGCUUGGUAAACUGGGUCUAAUACCGGAUAGGAGCCAUCUUUAGUGUGGUGGUUGGAAAGUUUUUUCGGUGUAGGAUGAGCUCGCGGCCUAUCAGCUUGUUGGUGGGGUAAUGGCCUACCAAGGCGGCGACGGGUAGCCGGCCUGAGAGGGUGUACGGCCACAUUGGGACUGAGAUACGGCCCAGACUCCUACGGGAGGCAGCAGGGGGGAAUAUUGCACAAUGGGCGCAAGCCUGAUGCAGCGACGCCGCGUGGGGGAUGAAGGCCUUCGGGUUGUAAACUCCUUUCGCUAGGGACGAAGCUUUUUGUGACGGUACCUAGAUAAGAAGCACCGGCUAACUACGUG
rnacentral:rRNA from 1 species